UUAACACAUGCAAGUCGAGCGAUGAAGCACCUUCGGGUGUGAAUUAGCGGCGAACGGGUGAGGAACACGUGAGAAAUCUGCCUUCAACACUGGGAUAACUCCGGGAAACCGGGGCUAAUACCGGAUAUGAAAUCUGCGGGCAUCCGUGGAUUUGGAAAGUUUUUCGGUUGAAGAUGAUCUCGCGGCCUAUCAGCUUGUUGGUGAGGUAAUGGCUCACCAAGGCGACGACGGGUAGCCGGCCUGAGAGGGCGACCGGCCACACUGGGACUGAGACACGGCCCAGACUCCUACGGGAGGCAGCAAUGGGGAAUAUUGGGCAAUGGAGGAAACUCUGACCCAGCGACGCCGCGUGCGGGAUGAAGGCCUUCGGGUUGUAAACCGCUUUCAGCAGGGAAGAAGCGAAAGUGACGGUACCUGCAGAAGAAGCACCGGCUAACUAUGUGCCAGCAGCCGCGGUAAUACAUAGGGUGCAAGCGUUGUCCGGAAUUAUUGGGCGUAAAGAGCUCGUAGGUGGUUCGUCACGUCGGAUGUGAAACUCUGGGGCUUAACCCCAGACCUGCAUUCGAUACGGGCGAGCUUGAGUAUGGUAGGGGAGUCUGGAAUUCCUGGUGUAGCGGUGGAAUGCGCAGAUAUCAGGAGGAACACCAAUGGCGAAGGCAGGACUCUGGGCCAUUACUGACACUGAGGAGCGAAAGCGUGGGGAGCGAACAGGAUUAGAUACCCUGGUAGUCCACGCCGUAAACGGUGGGCACUAGUUGUGGGGACCUUCCACGGUCUCUGCGACGCAGCUAACGCAUUAAGUGCCCCGCCUGGGGAGUACGAUCGCAAGAUUAAAACUCAAAGGAAUUGACGG
rnacentral:rRNA from 1 species